rnacentral:rRNA from 1 species
UACGUAGGGUGCGAGCGUUAAUCGGAAUUACUGGGCGUAAAGCGUGCGCAGGCGGUUUGCUAAGACCGAUCGUGAAAUCCCCGGGCUCAACCUGGGAACUGCAUUGGUGACUGGCAGGCUAGAGUAUGGCAGAGGGGGGGUAGAAUUCCACGUGUGAGCAGUGAAAUGCGUAGAGAUGUGGAGGAAUACCGAUGGCGAAGGCAGCCCCCUGGGCCAAUACUGACGCUCAU